rnacentral:rRNA from 1 species
AGAGUUUGAUCCUGGCUCAGAACGAACGCUGGCGGCAUGGCUAAGACAUGCAAGUCGCACGCGAAAGCCAAUUUAAGCUUGCUUAUUGAGGCCGGUAGAGUGGCGAAAGGGCGAGGAACACAUGGGUAACGUACCUUAAGCACCGGGAUAGCUGUGGGAAACUACAGGUAAUACCGGAUGAGACCACGUUUCGUUAAGGAAUGCGGUCAAAGGAUGGGGCUCCUUCGGGACCUAUCGGCUUUUGAGCGGCCCAUGUCCUAUCAGCUUGUUGGUGAGGUAACGGCUCACCAAGGCUACGACGGGUACCGGGACUGAGAGGUUGACCCGGCGCAUUGGGACUGAGACACUGCCCAGACUCCUACGGGAGGCUGCAGUAACGAAUAUUGGGCAAUGGGCGAAAGCCUGACCCAGCAAUGCCGCGUGUGGGAAGAAGUCCUUCGGGAUGUAAACCGCUGUCAGGAGUUACCAAGCAAUGGAGGUUAAUACCUUCCGGCGUUGAGGAGCUCCAAAGGAAGCCACGGCUAACUUCGUGCCAGCAGCCGCGGUAAUACGAAGGUGGCUAGCGUUGUUCGGAAUUACUGGGCUUAAAGAGCACGUAGGCGGACUGUCAAGCGCUUUGUGAAAGCCCUCGGCUCAACCGAGGAAUUGCUUGGCGAACUGACAGUCUUGAGGCAAUCAGGGGCACACAGAACUCUUGGUGGAGCGGUGAUAUGCGUAGAUAUCAAGAGGAAUGCCGGUGGCGAAGGCGGUGUGCUGGGAUUGUCCUGACGCUGAGGUGCGAAAGCCAGGGGAGCGAACGGGAUUAGAUACCCCGGUAGUCCUGGCCCUAAACGAUGUCCACUAGGCUGAAGGCUCUCUGACGGGUUUUCGGCCGUAAUGAAAACGAUAAGUGGACCGCCUGGGGAGUACGGUCGCAAGGCUAAAACUCAAAGGAAUUGACGGGGGCUCACACAAGCGGUGGAGCAUGUUGCUUAAUUCGAUGCAACGCGAAGAACCUUAUCCUGGGCUUGACAUGCUUGGAUGCCUACCUGGAAACAGAAUAGGUUGCCCUUCGGGGUGAAACUUGCACAGGUGCUGCAUGGCUGUCGUCAGCUCGUGUCGUGAGAUGUUGGGUUAAGUCCCGUAACGAGCGAAACCCCUGUCGUUAGUUGCCAGCGAGUAAUGUCGGGGACUCUAACGAGACUGCCGGUGUUAAACCGGAGGAAGGUGGGGAUGACGUCAAGUCCUCAUGGCCUUUAUGCCCAGGGCUGCAAACGUGCUACAAUGGCCGAUACAAACCGACGCGAGACCGUGAGGUGGAGCAAAUCGGAAAAAGCCGGCCCCAGUUCGGAUUGAAGUCUGCAACUCGACUUCAUGAAGUUGGAAUCGCUAGUAAUCGCGUAUCAGCUACGACGCGGUGAAUGUGUUCCUGAGCCUUGUACACACCGCCCGUCAAGUCAUGGAAGCUGGUAGCACCCGAAGUCGUGUCAAUUCAGACAUGCCGAAGGUGAGAUUGGUGACUGGGACUAAGUCGUAACAAGGUA